rnacentral:rRNA from 1 species
UACAGAGGUCUCGAGCGUUAGGCGGAAUCACUGAGCUUAAAGCGUGUGUAGGCGGAUUGCUAAGUACCUUGUGAAAUCCCACGGCUUAACCGUGGAACUGCUUGGUAUACUGGCUGUCUUGAGCCACUUAGGGGCGACCGGAACAAACGGUGGAGCGGUGAAAUGCGUAGAUAUCGUUUGGAACGCCAAAGGUGAAAACAGGUCGCUGGGAGUGUGCUGACGCUGAGACACGAAAGCCAGGGGAGCAAACGGG